AGUGGCGGACGGGUGAGUAACGCGUGAGAAUCUGCCUUGGGGUCGGGGACAACCACUGGAAACGGUGGCUAAUACCGGAUAAGCCGAUUGGUGAAAGAUUUAUUGCCCGAAGAGGAGCUCGCGUCUGAUUAGCUAGUUGGUGAGGUAAGAGCUCACCAAGGCAGCGAUCAGUAGCUGGUCUGAGAGGACGAUCAGCCACACUGGGACUGAGACACGGCCCAGACUCCUACGGGAGGCAGCAGUGGGGAAUUUUCCGCAAUGGGCGAAAGCCUGACGGAGCAAGACCGCGUGAGGGAGGAAGGCUCUUGGGUUGUAAACCUCUUUCUCAGGGAAGAAGCUCUGACGGUACCUGAGGAAUCAGCCUCGGCUAACUCCGUGCCAGCAGCCGCGGUAAUACGGAGGAGGCAAGCGUUAUCCGGAAUUAUUGGGCGUAAAGCGUCCGCAGGUGGCGAUUCAAGUCUGCUGUCAAAGCACGGGGCUUAACUCCGUAAAGGCAGUGGAAACUGAAUAGCUAGAGUGCCGUAGGGGUAGAGGGAAUUCCCGGUGUAGCGGUGAAAUGCGUAGAGAUCGGGAAGAACAUCGGUGGCGAAAGCGCUCUACUGGACGGCAACUGACACUCAGGGACGAAAGCUAGGGGAGCGAAUGGGAUUAGAUACCCC
rnacentral:rRNA from 1 species